AGAGUUUGAUCAUGGCUCAGGACGAACGCUGGCGGCGUGCUUAACACAUGCAAGUCGAGCGGAAAGGCCCUUCGGGGUACUCGAGCGGCGAACGGGUGAGUAACACGUGAGCAACCUGCCCUUAGCUCCGGGAUAGCUCCGGGAAACCGGAAUUAAUACCGGAUACAACCACGAUCGACAUCGGCUGUGGUGGAAAGGAUUUCCGGCUGAGGAUGGGCUCGCGGCCUAUCAGCUAGUUGGUGGGGUAACGGCCCACCAAGGCUACGACGGGUAGCCGGCCUGAGAGGGCGACCGGCCACACUGGGACUGAGACACGGCCCAGACUCCUACGGGAGGCAGCAGUGGGGAAUAUUGCGCAAUGGGCGAAAGCCUGACGCAGCAACGCCGCGUGGGGGAUGAAGGCCUUCGGGUUAUAAACCCCUUUCAGCAGGGACGAAGCGCAAGUGACGGUACCUGCAAAAGAAGCGCCGGCUAACUACAUGCCAACAGCCGCGGUAAUACGUAGGGCGCAAGCGUUGUCCGGAAUUAUUGGGCGUAAAGAGCUCGUAGGCGGUCUGUUACGUCCGCUGUGAAAACCCAGGGCUUAACCCUGGGCUUGCAGUGGAUACGGGUAGACUAGAGGCAGGUAGGGGAGAAUGGAAUUCCCGGUGUAGCGGUGAAAUGCGCAGAUAUCGGGAGAAACACCGGUGGCGAAGGCGGUUCUCUGGGCCUGACCUGACGCUGAGGAGCGAAAGCGUGGGGAGCGAACAGGAUUAGAUACCCNNGUAGUCC
rnacentral:rRNA from 1 species